UUCCAUAAAAAAUGUCUGCAUCUAAGCAAAUUUUUUUUUUUUCAGAGCCAUGGAUUGUGACAGAAUGGGCAGGCACAGAUUUUCUCCUGUGAAGGAAGUGACAUUAUUGUUCUUGUUAUUAAUGCUUAGUACUGGAGAAAAAAAUCCAGAUUCUUACACCAUCCUUUUCACCGACAAAUCUCAGAGCUCUCCCAUUUUACAGGCAACAAGGAAUGAUGGCGAGUCCUGCUGAAAAUAAUUUGCCCCCCUGGACAGCUCCAGAACCAUUGGUAUCUUUGAAAAUCUGGUCCAUGCUGCUGCUGUCUUACUCCUGGAACAGAGAGCAGAGUUAUACCGAGGGUACAUCCACUCCUUGGGGGGUGAGGGAUGGGGAUUCAUGUCCUGCAAACUGGUUCUAAAAAUCGAGCAUGUUUUCACCACCUUUGAGAGAAACGUAGCAAAUACUUGGAGAGCUGGUCCUUCUGUUGCUGCAGCUGUAAUAAAAUCAUUAAUUGUUAA